rnacentral:lncRNA from 1 species
GUGUAAAAUGUAAACAUUAAACAUAAACAGUGAAUAAUUAUUUUCAAACAUAAAAAAAAUAAGUAUUUGUAAGUAUAUUCAUAAAAAUGUAAUGAAAAAGGUAAAAGUACAGAAUAAGUUAUUGGCUCUGCAGUGCUGCACGAUCCUCAGUACCUAUAUCAUGAAUAAUUACAAGAAUCAACUAGAAUCCUGUUUUGGAUUAUUGUGAUUCUAUCUUCACGUACAUAGAAAAAUAGAACGUAUACUAGAUAGAUUUGGGUAUCGUUUUCAUCAUGUUUGCG